rnacentral:rRNA from 1 species
ACGUCGUAGACUCAGGGAGUCCGGUGUGCGGGGUAAGCUUGUGCACCGUGAGGGAGACAACCCAGAGCCAGGUUAAGGACCCAAAGUGUGGAUUAAGUGUGAUUGAAGAUUGUCUCGAGCCCUAAACAGCCGGGAGGUGAGCUUAGAAGCAGCUACCCUCUAAGAAUAGCGUAACAGCUUACCGGCCGAGGUUCGAGGCGUCGAAAAUGAUCGGGACUCAAAUCCACCUCCGAGACCUGGCGGCGUGUCGUAUGACACGAUUCCGUAGGUUGGCAUACUGCAUGGGUGGAAGCACGGGUGAGAACUCGUGUGGACCGUGCAGCAACGAAAAUCAUGGUCUCAGUAGCAGCGAGAGUCGGGUGUGAACCCCGACGGCCUUACGCGCAAGGGUUCCUCGGCACUGUCAAUCAGCCGAGGGUUAGUCGAUCCUAAGUCUAUCCGUAAUUCGAAAUAGAUGAAAGGGAAACUGGUUAAUAUUCCAGUACCUUCUUGCACUAAACGUCGACGCUUUAGGAAACACCGAGCGGGGCCUUCGCCCCGUCGAAUCACCGAAAUUCGUGGAAGCCGUAACGGCACGAAGCGAACGAAUGAUGAGAUAGAGAAAUUCGGCCGUACCUAGAGCCCGUGAAAAGACAAGCAAGAAGCUCGUACCGAGAUCCGACACAGGUGCGCUGGCAGAGCAAGCCAAGGCCUGUCGGGAUCAACCGACGUUAGGGAAUUCGGCAAGUUAGUCCCGUAAGUUCGCGAUAAGGGAUGCCUGCUCUUGACCGAGCAGGUCGCAGUGACUCGGACGCUCCGACUGUCUAGUAACAACAUAGGUGACCGCAAAUCCGCAAGGACUCGUACGGUCACUGAAUCCUGCCCAGUGCGGGUAUCUGAACACCUAGUACAAUAGGACGAAGGACCCGUCAACGGCGGGGGUAACUAUGACCCUCUUAAGGUAGCGUAGUACCUUGCCGCUUCAGUAGCGGCUUGCAUGAAUGGAUCAACGAGAGCGUCACUGUCCCAACGUUGGGCCCGGUGAACAGUACGUUCCAGUGCGGAGUCUGGAGACCCCCAAGGGGAAGCGAAGACCCUAUAGAGCUUUACUGCAGGCUGUCGCUGAGACGUGGUCGCUAAUGUGCAGCAUAGGUAGGAGCCAUUACACAGGUACCCGCGCCAGCGGGCCACCGAGGCAACAUUGAAAUACUACCCGUUAGUGACUGCGACUCUCACUCCUGGCGGAGGACACCGGUAGCCGGGCAGUUUGACUGGGGCGGUACGCGCUCGAAAAGAUAUCGAGCGCGCCCAAAGAUUUCCUCACGCGAGUCGGGAACUCGUGGAAGAGCGCAAGAGCAAACGGAAGUCUGACAGUGACAUUCCCAACGAGUGUCGCUGACGCGAAAGCGUGGUCUAGCGAACCUACGAGGUUCAUUCAUGGGACCCGUAGAUGACAGAAAAGCUACCUUAGGGAUAACAGAGUCGUCACCCGCAAGAGCACAUAUCGACCGGGUGGCUUGCUACCUCGAUGUCGGUUCCCUCCAUCCUGCCUGUGCAGAAGCAGGCAAGGGUGAGGUUGUUCGCCUAUUAAAGGAGGUCGUGAGCUGGGUUUAGACCGUCGUGAGACAGGUCGGCUGCUAUCUAUUGGGGGUGUUAAGGAACUUGACGUGAACGUUCGUAUAGUACGAGAGGAACUACGAAUGGGUGCCACUGGUGUACCGGUUGUCCGAGAGGGCAGAUGCCGGGCAGCUACGCACCACGGGGUAAGAGCUGAACGCAUCUAAGCUCGAAACCCACACGGAAAAGAAGUUCCACUGAGGACACUCGUAGAAGACGAGUUCGAUAGACUCGGGGUGUACGCAACGAGGCAACGAGUUGU